AGAGUUUGAUCCUGGCUCAGAUUGAACGCUGGCGGCAUGCUUUACACAUGCAAGUCGGACGGCAGCACAGAGGAGCUUGCUUCUUGGGUGGCGAGUGGCGAACGGGUGAGUAACAUAUCGGAACGUACCGAGCAGUGGGGGAUAACUAAUCGAAAGAUUAGCUAAUACCGCAUAUUUUCUGAGGAAGAAAGCAGGGGACCAUUUGGCCUUGCGCUGUUUGAGCGGCCGAUAUCUGAUUAGCUAGUUGGUGAGGUAAUGGCUUACCAAGGCGACGACGGGUAGCCGGCCUGAGAGGGUGACCGGCCACACUGGGACUGAGACACGGCCCAGACUCCUACGGGAGGCAGCAGUGGGGAAUAUUGCACAAUGGGCGCAAGCCUGAUGCAGCGACGCCGCGUGAGGGAUGACGGCCUUCGGGUUGUAAACCUCUGUUAGCAUCGAAGAAGCGAAAGUGACGGUAGGUGCAGAGAAAGCGCCGGCUAACUACGUGCCAGCAGCCGCGGUAAUACGUAGGGCGCGAGCGUUGUCCGGAAUUAUUGGGCGUAAAGAGCUUGUAGGCGGUUGGUCGCGUCUGCUGUGAAAGGCUGGGGCUUAACCCUGGUUUUGCAGUGGGUACGGGCUAACUAGAGUGCAGUAGGGGAGACUGGAAUUCCUGGUGUAGCGGUGGAAUGCGCAGAUAUCAGGAGGAACACCGAUGGCGAAGGCAGGUCUCUGGGCUGUAACUGACGCUGAGAAGCGAAAGCAUGGGGAGCGAACAGGAUUAGAUACCCUGGUAGUCCAUGCCGUAAACGUUGGGCACUAGGUGUGGGGGACAUUCCACGUUUUCCGCGCCGUAGCUAACGCAUUAAGUGCCCCGCCUGGGGAGUACGGCCGCAAGGCUAAAACUCAAAGAAAUUGACGGGGGCCCGCACAAGCGGCGGAGCAUGCGGAUUAAUUCGAUGCAACGCGAAGAACCUUACCAAGGCUUGACAUAUACUGGACUGCGUCAGAGAUGGCGUUUCCCUUCGGGGCUGGUAUACAGGUGGUGCAUGGUUGUCGUCAGCUCGUGUCGUGAGAUGUUGGGUUAAGUCCCGCAACGAGCGCAACCCUCGUUCUAUGUUGCCAGCACGUGAUGGUGGGGACUCAUAGGAGACUGCCGGGGUCAACUCGGAGGAAGGUGGGGAUGACGUCAAAUCAUCAUGCCCCUUAUGUCUUGGGCUUCACGCAUGCUACAAUGGCCGGUACAGAGGGUUGCGACACUGUGAGGUGGAGCUAAUCCCUAAAAGCCGGUCUCAGUUCGGAUUGGGGUCUGCAACUCGACCCCAUGAAGUCGGAGUCGCUAGUAAUCGCAGAUCAGCAACGCUGCGGUGAAUACGUUCCCGGGCCUUGACACACCGCCCGUCAAG
rnacentral:rRNA from 1 species